AUAACACAUUGGCCACAUCUCCAGUAAAUGUGGCAAUCAUACUAAAUCAUAAAAGGAAGUAUGAAUGCAAUGCUUGAGAAGACUAGGACUCUGAAAAUUGACACGAAGCAGAGUUAUGUGCUUGUAUGGAGGGAAUAUUCAUUGCCAUUCAGAGAUCAGAGUUGCCUAUUUGUGUGAAACUAGACACGCUAUCAGUAGUGAACGUGCUCAAAGAGAAGGAUCUAGACAGAUCAAUGUUUGCAUCAUUGAUUGCUGAGAUCAAUCAUCUUUUGCCUCCUCGUUUUGGUUCCGGCUUGCGAGAGGUAGUAAAGCAGAUUGUAAUGAUGAUGCUAUUUGAUUAAUGCAAGAUUUUACCCGUAAAAAAAGACAUAUAGGACAAGAUGUUCUCAACACGCAUGCCGUUACUACCAUAAGCUUGACAUUC